rnacentral:rRNA from 1 species
UACGUAGGGUGCAAGCGUUGUCCGGAAUUAUUGGGCGUAAAGAGCUCGUAGGCGGCUUGUCACGUCGACUGUGAAAACCCGGGGCUCAACUCCGGGCCUGCAGUCGAUACGGGCUGGCUUGAGUGCGGUAGGGGAGACUGGAAUUCCUGGUGUAGCGGUGAAAUGCGUAGAUAUCUGGAGGAAUACCGGUGGCGAAGGCGGCAUCCUGGACCAUUACUGACGCUGAGGCGCGAAAGCUAGGGGAGCAAACGGG